AAUGCUUGAUUAUUCGAUGCAGUGCCCUUGCAGGAGAGCAACUGCAUUCGGAAAGUCAGUGGAACCGUUUCAAAUCAGGCUUCUCUUUUAAUUAGCCACCUGUUGCACAAACACUGUGCCACCAACUAAGCUUUCUCUUUCCUCUGGUCAACGUGAAAGUCUCUGAGCUACGGGACCGACAACACAACACAACACAACAUUUAGCGGACAAUGCAAAUGGCGGUGAUGGCGUGUGUCAUGUUUGGCUGGUACACGACUGUGUGUCACCGUGCAACACGUCCCCGGAGGACCUGCCCUGCCACCACGUGGGGAACUCAGCGUGUCAGUCCUGGGAGGGGUUGGAGUAGGAGUCGAGAGACGGAGAGACGUGUUGUGAUUCAAGCAUGACCCACAUGCAGAGAGCAGCCAUCUUUACCUGGAUCCACUGCCAAUGACCUUCAUCCGCAUCAAUCGCAGAGCCCCAUUAAAGCCAGCAGGAGCCGAUGUGUCUAAUUGAGGGAAGGUAGUUUGGAAGGACAAGUCAUCCUGUCUGCGUGGUAAAGAAGAUGUCUGCCAUGAGUUCAGGCUGCUGCAGAUCCAGGCCCAGGAUACUUGGUGGAUGGAAGCCAUUUCUACUCAAGGGCCCCUGUGAGAUGACCUGGUUACUCCUCACCUUUCCUCCAGUUCCUUACCUGCUUUGCUGCCUCUCCACUAUUUUGAGGACCCUUUCAUACCAACCUUGUUAGAGGUCCGGACCUCCAGACGUUUCAUUUCAUCCGGACCAAAAAGAAAAGGCAACAUUCGAUUUUUUUCUCGGAGAGAGACGCAGACAAAGCGCCAUUAUUAGGAGGCAACAGAGACGCUGAUGAAAAGGCAAAGAAGAGCCGGUGGCGGUCUGGGAUGGAAUGACUUACCCUGGCGCUCUUGGCAGAUUCUUGGCUGUUCAGGUAUUCUGUCACCUGGGGGAGAGAGAGAGAGAAGGGUCAUUAUGCAUAUCACAUCACCAUCACACAGGAUUGUAAAGGAUUAAGGUGAAUCAAUGAAUUCUUUCAACUUGCUCUGACCCUGGAGACACUUCUUUUACCUGCUUACAUGAAAAUUUGCUUGUUUUUUCCUAAUUUUGCACAAAGUUCACUCUCUUCUUCUUUUUUUGGGAAGACUCUCCCAGCAAAAGCAGAUGUACGGAACACAGUGUUCUCCGAAGAUUAACAGGAUCAAGAUAACACACACUGGUUAUCUCACUGCAGGGGAAUGUGGAGGUCAUCGCUCCAUGCUACGACACACACCAGUAAGGGACUGGAGAUCAGAACAUGUCGUGGCUCUGCCCCGUGUUCCUGUGAGCCUCAGGCCGACACCUCAGGAGCUACACACAGGUCCUUCCUGCUUCUAUUGUACAGCAUGGUGCUGGGUUAAUAAGGUCGGAGUGAGACACAGUGAACAGGAGCACGUCUUCAUACUAUUCCCGAUAACACCCUUCUUCCUUAAAAUGAUGUCUAAUCCAAAUAAAACUCAAUAGUAAAAUUCAACGUCGGAA